UACGUAGGUGGCAAGCGUUGUUCGGAUUUACUGGGCGUAAAGGGCGCGUAGGCGGCGCAACAAGUCACUUGUGAAAUCUCCGGGCUUAACCCGGAGCGGCCAAGUGAUACUGUCGUGCUAGAGUGCGGAAGGGGCUACUGGAAUUCUCGGUGUAGCGGUGAAAUGCGUAGAUAUCGAGAGGAACACCUGCGGCGAAGGCGGGUAGCUGGGCCGACACUGACGCUGAUGCGCGAAAGCCAGGGGAGCGAACGGG
rnacentral:rRNA from 1 species